rnacentral:rRNA from 1 species
UGGCGGCGUGCUUAACACAUGCAAGUCGAACGAACCUUCGGGUUAGUGGCGGACGGGUGAGUAACGCGUGAGAAUUUGCCCUCAGGAGGGGGAUAACGGUUGGAAACGACCGCUAAUACCCCAUAUGCCGAGAGGUGAAAUGAAUUUCGCCUGAGGAUGAGCUCGCGUCUGAUUAGCUAGUUGGUGUGGUAAUGGCUCACCAAGGCUUCGAUCAGUGGCUGGUCUGAGAGGAUUAACCCCCACACGGAUACUGAGACACGGAUCCGACUCC